rnacentral:rRNA from 1 species
UCUGGCUCAGAUUGAACGCUGGCGGCAGGCCUAACACAUGCAAGUCGAACGGUAACAGGAAGAAGCUUGCUUCUUUGCUGACGAGUGGCGGACGGGUGAGUAAUGUCUGGGAAACUGCCUGAUGGAGGGGGAUAACUACUGGAAACGGUAGCUAAUACCGCAUAACGUCGCAAGACCAAAGAGGGGGACCUUCGGGCCUCUUGCCAUCGGAUGUGCCCAGAUGGGAUUAGCUAGUAGGUGGGGUAACGGCUCACCUAGGCGACGAUCCCUAGCUGGUCUGAGAGGAUGACCAGCCACACUGGAACUGAGACACGGUCCAGACUCCUACGGGAGGCAGCAGUGGGGAAUAUUGCACAAUGGGCGCAAGCCUGAUGCAGCCAUGCCGCGUGUAUGAAGAAGGCCUUCGGGUUGUAAAGUACUUUCAGCGGGGAGGAAGGGAGUAAAGUUAAUACCUUUGCUCAUUGACGUUACCCGCAGAAGAAGCACCGGCUAACUCCGUGCCAGCAGCCGCGGUAAUACGGAGGGUGCAAGCGUUAAUCGGAAUUACUGGGCGUAAAGCGCACGCAGGCGGUUUGUUAAGUCAGAUGUGAAAUCCCCGGGCUCAACCUGGGAACUGCAUCUGAUACUGGCAAGCUUGAGUCUCGUAGAGGGGGGUAGAAUUCCAGGUGUAGCGGUGUAAUGCGUAAAGAUCUGGAGGAAUACCGGUGGCGAAGGCGGCCCCCUGGACGAAGACUGACGCUCAGGUGCGAAAGCGUGGGGAGCAAACAGGAUUAGAUACCCUGGUAGUCCACGCCGUAAACGAUGUCGACUUGGAGGUUGUGCCCUUGAGGCGUGGCUUCCGGAGCUAACGCGUUAAGUCGACCGCCUAGGGAGUACGGCCGCAAGGUUAAAACUCAAAUGAAUUGACGGGGGCCCGCACAAGCGGUGGAGCAUGUGGUUUAAUUCGAUGCAACGCAAAGAACCUUACCUGGUCUUGACAUCCACGGAAGUUUUCAGAGAUGAGAAUGUGCCUUCGGGAACCGUGAGACAGGUGCUGCAUGGCUGUCGUCAGCUCGUGUUGUGAAAUGUUGGGUUAAGUCCCGCAACGAGCGCAACCCUUAUCCUUUGUUGCCAGCGGUCCGGCCGGGAACUCAAAGGAGACUGCCAGUGAUAAACUGGAGGAAGGUGGGGAUGACGUCAAGUCAUCAUGGCCCUUACGACCAGGGCUACACACGUGCUACAAUGGCGCAUACAAAGAGAAGCGACCUCGCGAGAGCAAGCGGACCUCAUAAAGUGCGUCGUAGUCCGGAUUGGAGUCUGCAACUCGACUCCAUGAAGUCGGAAUCGCUAGUAAUCGUGGAUCAGAAUACCACGGUGAAUACGUUCCCGGGCCUUGUACACACCGCCCGUCACACCAUGGGAGUGGGUUGCAAAAGAAGUAGGUAGCUUAA